CCCGAGUCCUUCUCUUUCUCCUUCUCUUUCUCCUAUACGCUGAAACAGACUCUCUCAUUCUCCUCUACCCCACCGACGGCUUCUAAGGCAAGAGACAAGAAAACCCUUUUCUCUUUUCUCUUCACCGUCGACCCUAAGGCAUACAAAAGGGGGAGAAAACUUCGCAAGUCCCCUCCUUCGCAUGAGAAAGACCUUUCGGUUUCCUCCAAGCCGUGUAGAUCCCUUUCACUUCUCCAGUCGAUUUCCCUUGUUUUCCUGAACCUGAGCUUUUCACCGAAACCAUUCAAGAAGAUCAACCUUUUGAGAUUCCCGAAAUUUCCUUUCUCUUUCCGUGUUGCUGUGUACCUCUGUGACUCCAAAAGAGAUCCACGCAGGAGUGUAAUUGCAAGAUUUAAAGACUACUUGUAAAGCUUCGAGGUAUGAAUGAGGAUGCUGCGGAGCUGGGUGCUGCUGAGGAGGUAGGGGCUGAAGUUUAGAGUUCCCGGUUGGUUUGAUUUGGAGGACAGUGAUUAUGUUUUCCUUAUGUUUUUAUUUUGGGUCCCAUGUUGGGACGUUCUGUUGGUUUGACUUUAAAACAAUAUGCCUUUGGGCAACAGUGCAAGUACUAUGGUGGGGUGAUGGUAAUGGCGUAUUUUCUAUGGUUGGGUGAUGGUAACCCCACAUAGGAAAGUUAAACGCCCUUUUAUAUGUGUUAUGGGGGACUGAGUCCCCUCUUAAUUUGAACCAAUAUGUUUUUGAUAAUUGGAUGAUGGGCUUUGAGAGUCCUCUAUUUUGAAUUC